rnacentral:rRNA from 1 species
ACUGGGAUUAGAUACCCCACUAUGCUCAGCCAUAAACCCAGACGUCCAACUACAAUUAGAUGUCCGCCCGGGUACUACGAGCAUUAGCUUGAAACCCAAAGGACCUGACGGUGCCUCAGACCCCCCUAGAGGAGCCUGUUCUAGAACCGAUAACCCCCGUUAAACCUCACCACUUCUAGCCACCCCAGCCUAUAUACCGCCGUCGUCAGCUUACCCUGUGAAGGCAAUAAAAGUAAGCAAAAUGGGCACAACCCAGAACGUCAGGUCGAGGUGUAGCGUACGAAGCGGGAAGAAAUGGGCUACAUUUUCUAUUAUAGAACACUACGGACAUGCAACAUGAAAUAGUGCUUGAAGGAGGAUUUAGUAGUAAAGAGGAAGCAGCGUGUCCUUUUGAACCCGGCUCUGAGGCGCGUACACACCGCCCGUCACCCUCU